GGUCAGUCACCAUUUGUCUUUGCAAGGCAGGUGUGAAUGGUGACUGUGUUCUAGCAUUGUUCUUUGUCUUUAUUUUUAGGAGGUAAAGCUGGAUAGCAGCAGUCAAGGUCAAGUGAGUAAGGCAAGUGGUGACCGGUGGAAGGAAAAAGUUGUUAUUGCUCAGGUGCCGAGUGCCGGUACUCUAAACUUUAAGCAGCCAUUGUCAUUUGCGUGUUUUAGGCAGUCCACUUGUAUUAUGCCAAAUCCCCUCACCGACCGGCUGACAGAGCCGGCUCGCCGCCCUCGUGAGCCCUCCCAAAGUGUUAUGGGACUCUGCAAUGAAGCCUUUACAUUUUCUGUUCCAAGGUGCCUUGCGGGUGACCUUUGGCAACGGCGGAGGAGUUGCGGCGAGUCGGGGAGGGAGGCGGGAGGAGCGAGGGUCCCCUCAAGUUCAAGCAAUUCCACAGCACCUUGUCCCUUCUUAACCCAGGCAUAUCCCGCAAUGAUGGCGUCUGCCUCAGAGUGUGGCCGAAGCGUGCUGCCAGAGGACCCCGGCCUUCUUAGGAGAUGCCGACUAGGAGGUGGCAGGAACUUCCCGGACAGCGAGGUAGCCUUAUUUUGCACCCGAGGCGGAUUCCCAUCCCGGACGUCCGAGAGAUAAGUCGAGGGUUACGACCCACAGAGGGGACGAAAGCAGGGUGCCGGGUCGGGCCUCGCCGGGAGGGAUUUUUGAGUCAGCUUUGAAGGCGGGAAUGUCCAAGAAGGGGCCCCUUAGCCCACAUAAAGGGCAAGUCUCACUUUUGAUCACAAUGCCGAGGCGGGCAGAGCAGUCCCGGUGCGUGUCGUGUCACUUGUCUAUUGUAUGUUCUGUGUCUUUUGGGCAUCUUGUGUCUUAGGCCUUUUUCCUUAGCCCUUUGAGGGGCCAGCUUAUCGGAAAUGCCGGGCAUCAUCCUUAGCAUCCGUGUUCCUCGGCCGAGUGCCGAUACUGUCGGACCUUUGACUGAUGAGCUCGGAUGCACAUCGGAAUCGCAUCUCCCUUUAGAAGCAUUGAGUCAGAGGUCUUUUAUGGUCUUGUUCUGAGCUAUAUUCACAGCUGUGCACCGCAGUGAUCCAUUAGAGGAUCAGGACUUGUCAGAAUGCAAAGAGCGGUAGAGGAUUCUGACCGUACGAUUCUCGGGCAUCCAUCUUUGCGGUUCUCGGAAUAAGCCCUUCUGUUAGCAUCUUCUUCGAGCCUUGUCGGUCUCGCUGAGAUCAUCUCGCUCCGCAUUCUCUCGGUCCUUGCGGCCAUUCCUCUUGUCGGAGUUUUCUCUCUUCAUCGCAUCUCCUCGUUUGUCAUUUCCUGUGUCACAGGUGCCUGCAUGGGUUUGGCCCGGAGCUGCUCUGCCCUGCCAUGUAGUCUGGUGUAUAGGUGUAGUAGGACAAGUCCCAAGGCCUUGAAAUCUGUAAUGUAGGGUGUAGUUUGGCCUCUAGCUGGUAUUCCUAGAUUGACACAGGAUGCCUGGAGCUGUUAUCAUGCAGGACUCUGACUUUUGUCAUUGCUUUCUUUCAGAUGCAGAUGGAUCAAAUCUGUGGCAGGGCGCCCCAGACCGGGUGAGGCGGUUUCCCACCUUCCCACAAGAAGGUCAGUCACCGUUUGUGUUUGUGGGGCAACUGUAAAUGGUGGCUAUGUUACAGCACUGUUCUUUGUCUUUGCUUUCAAGAGGUAAAGCCAGAUAGCAGCAGUCAAGGUCGAUGGAGUGAGGUGGUCCGCUUGUAUUACGCCGAAGCCCCUCGCCAAUCGGCCGAUGGACCCGCUUCACCACUGUCGUGAGCGCUCUGGAAGUAUUACGGGACUCUGCAAUGAAGCCUUUACAUUUUCUGUUCUGAGGUACCUUCCGGCAUACCCCGCGACGACGGCGUCGGCCUCGGAGCGUGGCUGAAGCGUGCGGUCCGAGGACCCCAGCCUUCUUAGGAGACGGAGAUGACAGCCCGGUGACGACAGGAGCUUCCCAGAGGGUGAGCCAGCCUUCUGUUGUGCCUGAGGAGGAUUCCCAUCUCCAGAU